UUGAGUUAGUUUUUUUAUGUUAUGUUGGUUGGUUUUCUAAGUUUGUUUUUGUUAAAUUUUUUUCAUUGGAUUUGUGAAUGGUAGUUUAUUUAUCGUCACAUUUCUUGCGUUUCAGAGGUUAUAGAAAUCAGUUUGAACUUCUGGAAAUCUAUUUAGUAAUCUAUCUGUCAAGAACUAGUUAUUAAAUAUGUACUUUUUAUUUUAUUUUGAGAUUGAAAUUAUAAAAUCGUUCAUCUAUUAAGGAUAUGUAAUUUAUACAGUUGGAGAUUAAUUUGUUCAAUGAAGGAGUUGGAG
rnacentral:lncRNA from 1 species